rnacentral:lncRNA from 1 species
AUGAUUGAUCUUUUGAAACUAAAUCUGUCAAAUUCUUUUUCUAGGAAAGCAAUUUUAAAAUGCGCUUUUGAAAAUGUUUGUUCUGAUGAUGCCUUAUCAAAGGAAAACAUGGUUGUAUCUGAGACGGAAGUUUUACUAAAAGAGUUGGAGCAAAUGCUACAGCAAGCACUGCAACCCACAGUCACACCUGAUGAGUCUGAAGAAGGAUAUGGAGAGGAAAUAAAUACGGGAGAAAAGUUAUCUAAAUGCAGCCCAGAAGCUCCUGCAGGCAAUCUGUUUGAAAACCACUGUGAAGAGGACUAUCUUGUAAUUGAUGGGAUCAAAGUAAAAGCUGGAGAAUGUAUUGAGGAUAUAACUAAUAAAUUUAAAGAAAUAGAUGCUUUGAUGUCUGAGUUUUAGAAUACUAUACAUUUUUAAGUUAAUUAUAAAAAUAUUGGCAUCUUUAUAUUUAUCCGAAGUUAAAACCUUAAAAAUGUUUGGUGAAAUAGGUAUAAAUUAUACCAAAGUGUAUAUUUGCAAUAACUUUCUACUUCAUAUUUUGAGAAUGGCCAUGAUUUUUAGAGCCAGUCAAAUGGUAUUUAAGUUAGUGUUAAAAAUUUAGAAUUAAAAAACCCUGAUAGUUGUAUUUAUAUAUUUCUUGUUUGCCUUAAUUUUUAAAUGAUUUGUGAAAUUGCCUCACAAACAUAUGCUUUACAAUGAUUGUUUAGGCCGUUUAUUCAAAAAUGGAUAACUUAAAAUGGCUGGCCAAGCUAUUAUAAAUCUCAGAGGCAAUU